CGUGUAGGCGGGAAGGAAAGUCAGAUGUGAAAGCCCUGGGCUCAACCCAGGAACUGCAUUUGAAACUCCCUUUCUUGAGUGUCGGAGAGGAAAGCGGAAUUCCUGGUGUAGAGGUGAAAUUCGUAGAUAUCAGGAGGAACACCGGUGGCGAAGGCGGCUUUCUGGACGACAACUGACGCUGAGACGCGAAAGCGUGGGGAGCAAACA
rnacentral:rRNA from 1 species